UAUGAGCAGUCGGUCAAAUUUGGAUGCAUUCUCCAACGUUUCACGUUUGCCAAACCAAAGCGUCCUUUCCCAAGACCAAAAUCAUUCCCAAAGGCAAAAUCAUUGAUUUUCUGUUGAGGAUAUUAAGAUGGUUGCAAACAUUUCAAAGCAUAAUUUGUUGUUCAUCCAAAAACCCUAGCCGCAUAACUAAUUUCUCAGGACAGAGACGAAGGAGAAGAAGAAGACGGAGGGGAAGAGAAAGACGAAGGACUGGAUAUUAGGAUUUCUGUUGUUCUAUGUUGCAAAAUUUAUCUCUGUUAUUUUAAUGGAAUUUCACAUAUUUGCAUAAGAGAAGUAGUAUUGGAAUCGUUAAUGAAAACCCCAGUUGUGGAGGUCCUUCGAUCCUUGGUAACCAUGUUCAAGGGAUAGAGUAUGAAAGACAACAUACCAGGUGCAAUAUAGGUUUGAGGUUGAUAUAAAGGAGCUUUUUGGACAAAUUGACACCUCCACAUACAGUAAGAUGAUUUUUUUUCUUUGGUUAGUACUUAAUGGCCUAAAUUGUUCUACUGAAAGUAUGUCGGGAUUUUUGCGGCCCUUAGUUAUUGUUCUCCUUAUAUUUUUAAAAUUUGGAUCUGAAUUUGAGUUAUCUAAUGUGAUUUAUUUUAUAUUUCGAAUAGCUUGGUAAUGUUGGAGGAAGAAUGUAAAACACUGUCGGAUGCUGUGAGUAAUUUGUGUUGUUAAUCAAAUUUAAUUGUUGAUUAUGAUAAUUCAGUUUUUUAUUUACAUUUAUUUCAUGAGAAGACUCUUUAUUUUGCUAUGGUAGAAAAUAAAAUAAGAAAGAAGAA